AUAAUGUGGUGGCUUCUCUCCCUUAGGUGGCUUGCCAACUGGGGUUGGUGGCUUGUGUUCAGGAAGUGGUUUCUCUCCCAUGGGAGGUUUAGCAAUUGGGGUUGGUGGCUUGUGUUCUGGGAGUGGCUUCUCUCCCUUGGGAGGUUUAGUAGGUGACUUGUGUUCUGGAGGUGGCUUCUCCACCGGAGGCUUGUGCUCCGGUGGUGGCUUCUUGGUUGGAGGGGGCUUGGGGUAAUCAGCAAGAGAUGGGGUGGUGAGAACCACCAGUCCAAGGAACAACACUAGCAAGUAUGUGGGAGACAUUUUUGAGUUUGGGCUGAUCAGAUGAUGCAAAACUAAAGCAUUACGUGACCUUUUAUAGCAUGUAGCUCCCAAUACCCACUAAGUAUUGUGGGGUCCAUUUGUGCCCUACGGGGUUGAAAACUUAGACAAUUGGGCAAGGACCCACCUGACUAUGGAGGACUAGUGAGGUGUGAUCAUAGCUUUAGGAUUUUUCUUCCUCUGCAGCCGUCGUGCCGUUGGCAUGAUUUUCUUAAUCUUAAAUAAAGGCAUAGUUAUAGAGUUGUUUAAUCUCUAAAUGGGAUUUUAUAUAUAUCUUCAGAUAGCCAUUAAUAUAUUUGAUGAAGAAAGAAAGACAAGUGCAUACAACAUGUAUACGACUAGCUUUCAUGGAGUUCAUUUAUGAUCAGUUUUCCUGUACAUGUAAACCAGGAUCAUAUAUAUGUUUCUGUUCCACAACUAUUUUGGAAUCUUGUUUAUCAGUUUUUAUCAUUAUAAUGUCACAUAGGCUGCCAACUUGGGCGCUAAAAGAACCAGUUGGGCUAGUUCGUUUCAGAAUUUCAAUGUGGAUUCAGGAAUUGUUUUGUAAGAUAUGCGAAAUAGUAGAGGGAUGAAUAGUGUUUCAUUAAUAAAAGUGUCCUGUAAAUUAGAAGGUGUCAUAGAAACUAUAAUCAAUAAAUAACUUUUUUUCCCCACGGGUGGUGUUUCUUGUGGGGAUCAGUGACUGGUUUAGGUUCACCCAAAAUGAGUUCAGACUAAAAUUGGUUUGAGUCAAUGCCGUGUCUCUUUUUUCCAGAAAUCAACUAUUUUAUGCAUUGAAUAAAUCAUACAAAGAAAAUAUGAACGCCCGCAAAACCUAAACCCUGGUUGCUAACUUUCUAUGUUUCAGUUCUAUUCACGCAAGAAUAUUAGUUUAAGUUUGGGAAAAAUGGCAACUUACCUAGUGAUUACUUGGUUUUGGUUUGCGACUAUUUACGCAACCAACCAUGAGUUUGACUUUAACGUCAUGGGUUGAAGCCUCCUACAGGAAGGGAGAAAGCUCCACAGCUAGCUCCAAAAGAGAAUUAUCACAUUGAUAGCUCCAGAGAUUCCCAAGGGGACUGAAUCAAAGACAAGUUCCUCACUUUUUCUUCUUUUGAGGCCAAAUAUGAACCAAGGAUCACACAACCUCAUUCAACUUCAUAAGUUUGAUUUCAUGCAGUUGAACACUGGGUGAAGGCCAUGACAAGAAUUGAUUCAAAAAUUCUAUCACUCUUUUAAGUAAUGGAAGAUUAUUAUCUCUGAUUGGCAUCACAACAGCACAUGCUCCUAGAUCUUUCUAGACACUCCAUGCAAUGAAAGCACAAUGGAUCUUGUAACGAUAGAAACUAAGCCAUGCUACAGUACUAGAUGAUGAGGUAAAACUAGUAGACACGGGUGGCAGCCUAUAUGGGAGGGACACAAGUCUAAUUGAUUUGCAUUUCAGCAUUAUAGAUAGGUAUGUUUUGGAAGAUUUGUUCUGGAAAUACCGCACCAAGUAGGAUUCUUUUUCUCUUUAGUGGGUCCACUUGCAUGCCAAUUAACGAGUUGAAAAGUAUGAGCACCUACCUCGUGCUCGUGGAACCGAAGGUCAGUGAAGUGGGGCUCCUUUUGGCCUCGUGUAAACUUGAUUCAGAAGUGAAGUUAAUAGUCUUCCAUUCAGAUGGAUACAUGGGAAUUUUUCUCUUUUAUUUAUUUAUUUAUUUUUUUUUUGUGUGUGUAUGUCAAAGGAUAAUGAAUGAAGCGCGUUAGCUUGUUUUCUGACUGGAACCGCAGAUGUCCAAAUUGGAGUUCCUUCAUUUCUUACUUAGGAUUGUUACAUGUAUAAACAAGGUAUAAGAAAUAUGCCAACGUGUCUUGAGGAGUUAUUGAUUAGAAAUAACAAGUCACCCGACUGUAGAGUUCCAAGAUUUGAAUCUUCAGACCCUAUAGCAGCCUCUGGGGUACGUGGCAUCCUAUAGCAUAUUAAUGAAGGCUUUUUCGAUUUAGACUUCACAAUACCAAUUAAUAUGUAUGCACAAAAUGGAGAUGACCCCAAAAAAAACAGAAUCGCCAUAGUUUAUGAGGUUAAGGUGAUUCUCCACUUAAUAUCUACAUUAGCUAAUUAUGUAAAUCAAAUGAACUUCUAUUUUUCCUUUUUUUUUUUGGUUUAUGUCAAAUAGUAGCCCAUAAUUAACCCAACCAUUAGCCUGUUUGAAUUGAUUUCACAUGCACAAUGUUGUAGUAGUUCAUAUUUUGAAUUUUAUUUUUACAAAGGUAGUUAAGGAAAAUGAAGUAUAAUAAUUAUAAAAGCAGACUAUAUACACUACAAUAAUUGUUAGAAUGGUAUCUCAAAUUCUAAUUUAAAAUAUUAUUUUUUGUAAAAGAAAUAUUAUAUAGAAUAUUUCCUAAUUUUAUAAAUGAUUAUAAUUAGAUCUUUAUAAAAUAAGGAAAGUUGGUAAGAAUAUCUUUAUAAAUAUUUUAGGUCAUGAGAGAAAGAAAUGGGAUAAAAAUGUGAUGAAGAGGUGAAAUAAGAGAGUUGAUUAGGAUAUAGAUGUGAAGAAGAAAGGGAUUCAAUAUAUAUAUAUCUUUCAAUUACCACAUUAAAACCCUGUGAACCUUUUAUAUGGUUUACUUUAUUUUUAUAUUCCUCCUUUAAUAUAUUUACAUUAAUGCUUCCAUUGGCACAACAAUAACGAAUUACAAAUACAAGCAACAAGUCCCAUGUUUUAUUACCAAAAGCAGGUAAAAUCCACCUAAUAUAUUACAAUAUAUUCAUCCAAUAUUUUAGACCAAUUCUUCACCAUAAAUAUCAUAAUGUGGCUUUUGUUCUUUCUUAAAUUUAAAUUGAAUUGUCUUAUAUCAAUUUGUUUGUGAUUUUUUCAUUAACUUCACUUUCAUUUGGUUAUCUUUGGUUUUUGAAAAGUAUUAAGGAAUUAAUUAACAAAAUAAUGUUAAGAAAAAUAAUUUUCUCUCUUUUGAUUUUGAUUUUGUAGUAGAAAAAUAUAAUUAAAAUUAUUUAAAAAGUAUGUAAUUUUAAAUUAUUUAAUAUUUAGAUAAAAAAAAUAAGUCUAAUGAGUUUAAAAUAACAUAUAAAAAUAAUUUAUUUAUUUUAAAUUUAUUUUUUAUUUUCCAUUAUGUUCUCUUUCUCUUUUACUUUUUCAUAUUUUUUCUUACGAAGAAUCAAACACAACCUCAUAUUAUAUGUCAAGUGUUUGUCUAUAUUUGAGCAAUGUUAGAUACGGCCAUGGAUUCAUCAAACUAAACUGAUUUUAAUAGAUACUUCACAAAUUGAUUUAUACACUAAAUCAUUGGAUAGCAAUGAUGCAUUGGAAUUAAACGUAGGAUGAAGCUCGAAGAACACUGUUUGUGUAACAACAUAUUUAUGAAAUUAUGCAAAGGAUGAGCUUCGGGGUAGUAGUACAAGGUCAUUAAUGGAGAGCCGUGUUAAACCUUGAUUGUGAUUGGAUUCCGUUAUCAGCAACAGCAACCUUGUUUGUAACCUUGAAAGUCAUUCUGUCCACAUCGAAACUCCAAUUUGACGUUUGUAAUUACCAUUCCUGGAGUGUUCCUUGAUUGAAAUUUAAAUAAUAAUUGCGGCCCACAAGGAAUAUUUUCGAUUCUGUGGGAAUUUGACAAGGUUUGUUAGAGAAGACUGGUGACAUGUUGACUUCAAUGGUUCAAAUAGGAGACGUAUGUGGAUUUGGGGGGUUUAAUUGAAACUGAGUCCCUAUGGCUUUUUAAUAUUUGCAUUGAGCAGUCUCCAUGUGACUUCCUAAUUCCCACCAACCCUCCUGUCCAUGCUGUGAAACUAAAUUGUAAUUUAUCAGCCUUUGUCAAUGGUUUCUAAAUUAAAGAUAUAGACCAUGCAUGUACUUUAAUAAAAGCAAAUCUAAAGUGUAGAUAGCAGCAAUGGUGACACCCAAUAUUCUCCAUAAAAUAGAAUUAGAAUAAGCAGUGUUACAUUGUUCAUGAUCACCUACAAGCAUACAAGAACUUCCAUGAAUAACUCAUAGCAAUUGCCAACAGGGCGUCGUAGAGACUCAUACAUAGAACACUAUCCACCCAGAGGAAAGGACAAGACCAGUGCGCUGCAGCUCUUAUUUUUCACAUGUAUACCACCACUCGUAAUAACCAAAUUCACUCAGUUGGGAUAGGUGGGAGAUGGUGGUUUGUGGGGUGGCUUGUGGGGAGGAGUUGGAGGAGGCUUUAUUUUCUGAGGCGGCUUGUAUGAGUGUGCAGGAGGAUGCCCGGGAGUGUGACCAUAAUGUGGUGGCUUCUCUCCCGUAGGUGGUUUGCCAAAUGGGCUUGGUGGCUUCUCUCCCUUAGGAGGUUUACCAAUUGGGGUUGGUGGCUUGUGUUCUGGGAGUGGUUUCUCUCCCUUGGUAGGUUUGCCAAUUGGGGUUGGCGGCUUAUGUUCUGGGAGUGGCUUCUCUCCCUUGGGAGGUUUGCUAAUUGGGGUUGGCGGCUUAUGUUCUGGGGGCGGCUUCUCUCCCUUGGGAGGUUUGCCAAUUGGAGUUGGCGGCUUAUGUUCUGGGAGUGGCUUUUCUCCCUUGGGAGGCUUGCCAAUUGGGGUUGGCGGCUUAUGUUCUGGGGGUGGCUUCUCUCCUUUAGGAGGUUUGCCAAUUGGAGUCGGCGGCUUAUGUUCUGGAAGUGGCUUUUUUCCCUUGGGAGGUUUGCCAAUUGGGGUUGGCGGCUUAUGUUCUGGGGGUGGCUUCUCUCCCUUGGGAGGUUUGCCAAUUGGAGUCGGCGGCUUAUGUUCUGGGAGUGGCUUCUCUCCCUUGGGAGGUUUUGUUGGUGGCUUGUGUUCUGGAGAUGGCUUCUCCCCUGGAGGCUUGUGCUCCGGAGGUGGCUUCUGAAAUGGCGGGGGCUUGGGGUAAUGAGCAAGAGAUGGAGUACUGGUGAGAACCACCAUUCCAAGCAACAAUACUAGCAAGCAUGUGGGAGACAUCUUUGAGUAGUUGUAGCUAAGAUGGCGCAACACUGUAGGCAUUGGGUGGCCUUUUAUAAAGGGCUGGACCCAACAGCCAUAUGACACGUGUCAUGAUGACAAAUGAAGUUGAGGGGAUCCAGAUGGGUCCUACUGAGUCGAAAACUUGCACUAAUUGAUCUGGUGAGAUGACUAUUUCUGUCCUUUUGCCCUUCUCGGCCACCCUGUGCUGUUUUCCUUUUGCACGAUUUUCGUUGCCAAACAAGCAAAUAAUAUUUCGCCAAGAAAGAGGAGAGUGAAUGUGGAAUGCAUCAAGUCCCAUCAAGGAUGGCAGAGAAGAAAUAGAAGAUUGCCCAACUGUGAUAAACAUAGCAUACACGUAGCACCAGGAACUUCAUUUACUUCCAUCUAAUGGAACAUAACAAUCUUCUAAAGUUUUUGCAUGAUUUUGUUAUAUGUCUCUUAGCCUAAAGUUGGAAAUGCGCAACAAAUUUUGUCACUUCUCUAUUUCCCACUGAUGAUGUUAAUUAGCCUUCAUAGAUAUCAUCCUUUCUACAAAGUGCUUCAUUUGUGUGUUAUUGUAAAGUGUAAGAAAAGUAAUUGAACAUGUUCUUUUUCCUUUCAUAGAUGACUUUUGAUGUGCAUUUUAAAAGCAGCGCUGUGAGUCGGUGACCUUGAUUCACACGGAAACUAAGGCUCCUAUAGGACCCACUUUUAGCUGGUUAGGGGUGAAGAAAAUAUCAACUUUUCAGAGUGAUUUAAGUCAAGGCCAAGCCUCACUGUGUCAUUACUCGUGUGAAUUUUAUAUGCACAUACAUACAUAAAUAAAGUAUGAGACCCAAAUAACACCUUCCCUUUACAAACUUAACCCCAGCCGCUCUCUUUCAAUUCUUUUCACACAAGGGUAUUGACUCUAUAAAGGUCAAGAAAAUCAUAAUUUCCUAGGGUUUACAAGGUAAUUGGCUUAAUGCUAAUGUGAAAACAUAAAAGAUAAUAGUAUAUUGUAAGCUAACGAAUAUUCUAUAGUUAUAAUUAUUUGUGAUGUGCAUAAAUAAAUCUUCAUAUAUAUAAUGGAACAAUGAAUAAAGAACCAAUGAAAAAAUACUAUAUAUCAUUGCUUGGCAUUUAAACCGUAUAUGCUGCUCUUUCUAGCUACUCCAUCCACUGAAAGACAACAAGGUAAUCCAUGUUAUAAUGAUAGAAGAUACUGUCUCUAGGCUUUUUGUGAUGAAAAAUAUAAGAUAUGGGUAGGGUUGACCCUUGUAUGUUUGUCCUAUAAACACUUCAAAGUAACAUAUUUUUCUUCUUUAGCAACUCAUAAUGAUGGGGUUCAUUUGCAUGUCACUGAGUUGAAAAGUUGGACAAUUGCCCAUGUCGCCUUCCUCCUAGAUUCCGUAGUUCACGGGAAGGUAACUCAAGUUUGACAUAUUUUGAAUUCUUUUCACUCGGACGUCUUCAUAACCUGACAAAACAAAAAUGAAAAACAGAGGAUUGGUAUAUUAUUCAUGGUAAGCCUCAAAUUAUAGUAGUAUGAGAAAGGAGAAAAAGAUUUUGGGAACUCCAAUCUGGAUAAUUCUCGUUUCUUCUCUUGAAUAAAAAUUUCACUUACCUAACUUCGUUUGGAGAAAUGGCAUAUUUUAAUUUUGUACGUCAUUGCUAAUAAAUGGAGCAAUUUAGCAUGUUUUGUGACUGAAACUGCAAAUGUCCAAUUGGCAUUUCUUCAUUUCCCACUUAGGAUCUGAUCUUGUAGACCAUAUAACGAUAUGUAUCUGUGCAAGCAUUGAAAACUAAUGUGAACUAUGAGGAGUUACAAGCCACUGGACUGUAGAGCGAGUGCCAAGAUUUAAAUCUUCAGGCUCUAUCUGGGUAAGGGGAGGAUAGCGACCUAACCUUUUACCAAAGGCUUAGAAUUUAGACUUUUGGAAAAAAAUUUCUCAUGUUUUGGCUGGAUUUCUUGUGCUUGGCGCAAAAAGGAGAUGGCCUCAAGAAAUAGCAGACUCACUUUUGUUUUCAGCCCUUAAUAAUUCUCCACUGCUUUCCAUAACUACAUGGGUUAUACAUGCAGUCUGCUGCAAUAUUCCAGUUAUAUUUAUUAUUUCAAAGAGGGUGAAUGACUUCACAUGCAAUAUGUUGCAGUAACAACCCAAAUUUUGGCACACCAUCUUAAGAAUAGAAAAGUAUAAUAAAAGAAAUCAAUCAGAGAAUCACUUUGCAUGCAGUUCAUAGAGUUCGCCCAAAAUGGAGCCACAUGUACGGACAACCCCACAAUAGACAAUCUUCUCUAUACAGUAAUAAAAUACAGAAAUGGUUAAUGAAGCUCUGUAUUUCCUUAUCAUAUAUGACCGGUUGAAAACUCAGCAAGUCUUCCUCAAUCACAGACAGUUGGAGUUGCUUCAUCAAAAUCAUGCCUUCAUUACUGGCUUCAUUUUGGUUUCAAUGUCUGUUCUACCCUUAAAUUGGGUCUCUGCUUACUACCGGGAUAUCCUUUAGCGUCCUGCAAUUCUACUAGAUUAAAGAGAAUGACUUAAUUCUGCAUUCUGCCGUCCCUAGUCCAAGUGGUACUAGAAUUGAUGUUUCCUUUAGUGUCCUUUCUUCAUACUUUCAGGUUCUUCCCUUGUUUCAAUAAUGCUGUUUUCCUUCAUGUUUAACCUCUGUUGAACCACUUAAAACAACACAAUUUGCACACCAAUGUUUCUUUACAGAAAAGACUGUUUGCAAAAAUGCACAUGUUAUAAGGUUAAUGGAAGAAUUAAUUUGGGGAUAAGGGACUAGGAUUGGGCCAAUGAAGUUUGGUGUUAAAUUUUGAUUAUGAUUGCUUUUCAUUAUCAGGUACCUUAUAUUUGCUGAUGCUAUCUGGAACUAAAUUCAAAUCAGACAUUAUCCGAUUACUAACAGGACAUAUCAUGUCCCUCUGCAGAGUUUCUAAACUAACAUGUAUCGAAAUGUGGCCCCAAAAGGAAGGCUAGGAAGAUGGAGGAUUUUGUAGGAAUCGACCAGAAUCAGAUGGAAGAGAGAUAGUCCUGUUGACUUUAAUGGUUGUGAUAGGAACAUGCAUCAUUAUAUGAGAAGUUGCAUGAAUUUAUGUAUCCUGUUAUCGUUCCUUGACGAUUUCCCAAUGCAAUUUCACUGUCCACAAGACUAACCUCUCCAUGCAGUCAAAUGAAUUGUAAUUUCUCUAUUGGUACCAGUAGUACAUUUCAUACCAAACAUAUAGUAAAUAUAAAAUAUAAAUAGAUCAAGGAAAUCUGAAUUGUAGAUAGCACUGCAAGUAACACUCAAUAUUCUCUAUAUAUAAUAAAAUAAACAGUGUCACAAUACUCAUCACCCAGUGGCAAGGGAGAAAAACCUACAAUGAGUACUCAAAUCACCAUUCUCAAACAGAAACAUAGCAGUGACUGAUACAUAGAACCUAUAUGCUCACAGGGAAAGAAUAAGAUGACCAGUGCACAGCGGGCAGCAGCUCUUAUUUUACGUACAACUCAAAUCCCAAACUAACCAAAGUCGCUCAGUUGGGAUGGGUGGGAGAUGGUGGUUUGUGGGAUGGCUUCUGGGUAGGAGCUGGUGGCUUCUGUCCCUUUGGUGGUUUGCCUAAUGAGCUUGGUGGCUUGUGCUCCGGGAGUUGUUUCUCUCCCUCGAGUAGGUUUCGAGUCUUGUCAGAUGGCUUGUGUUCUGGUGGUGGCUUCUCUCCCUGGGGUGGUUUGCCGAAUGGGCUUGGUGGCUUGUGUUCGGGGAGUGGCUUCUCUCCCUGGAGAAGGUUACGAGUUUUGUCAUAUGGCUUUUGUUCUGGUGGUGGCUUCUCUCCCUGGGGUGGUUUGCCGAAUGGGCUUGGUGGCUUGUGUUCGGGGAGUGGCUUCUCUCCCUGGAGAAGGUUACGAGUUUUGUCAGAUGGCUUGUGUUCUGGUGGUGGCUUCUCUCCCUGGGGUGGUUUGCCGAAUGGGCUUGGUGGCUUGUGUUCGGGGAGUGGCUUCUCUCCCUGGAGAAGGUUACGAGUUUUGUCAGAUGGCUUUUGUUCUGGUGGCGGCUUCUCUCCCUGGGGUGGUUUGCCAAAUGGGCUUGGUGGCUUGUGUUCGGGAACUGGCUUCUCUCCCUUGGGAGGUUCAGUUGGUGGCUGCUGUUCCGUAGGUGGUUUCUUCACCGGCGGCUUGUGCUCCGGAAGCGGCUUCUCUACCUGGAGAAGCUUACGAGUUUUGUCCGAUGGCUUGUGUUGUGGUGGUGGCUUCUCUCCCUGGGGUGGUUUGCCAAAUGGAGUUGGUGGCUUGUGUUCGGGGAGUGGCUUCUCUCCAUUGGGAGGUUUAGUUGGUGAUUGGUGUUCCGUAGGUGGUUUCUGAAGUGGGGGAUGCUUGGGGUAGUCAGCAAGAGACGAGGUAGUGAGAACCACCAGUCCCAGCAGCAACACUAGCAAGCAUGUGGAAGACAUCUUUGAGUUCAGGCUGAGAUCUGUGCAAGGAUAACAGAAUUAGGUGGCCUUUUAUAGAGGCCUGGACCCAACACCCAUAUGACACGUGUCAUGCACUCAUGGUGACACAUAAUUCUAUGGGACCAUUUGGGUCCUACAGAAGUUGCAAAGUUGGACUACUGAGGUGUGAUCACAACUUUUGUCCUUAUUGCUUUCUCUGCGGCCAUUGCACGAUUUCCUUUAGCAUCAUUUUCUUGGCUAAAUAAGCGUAUUAUAUUUGUGGCAGACCGUCCACGUGUCAUAAACAGAUAUAUUAUAAUAAUGUAGUAUGCUUUUCUCCAAUGGAACAUGACACUCUUCUAAGUCUUGUUUUAAAUAUUGUGCAGGAUUACUUUAUACGUUGCAGUUCCAAGUCAAAAUUGGUGGGCAAACGUUGGCCUUUUUUCAUUUCACCUAAGAUUAAUGCUCACCUGGGAUAGGCACUACAUGACUUAUCUGCUCUUUUACUGUAAAGUUGCUUUGUGUAUGAGAUACACCUCCCCUGCACACCCUCAACAUUCGUUGCUCUGUUUUCCUUGUGUCCAGACGAGGAUAUUAAUUGGAGGCUGACAAAACGACUGCUAGCCCAGGAUUUACAAGGUCCUGGUUUGAGGCUUCGGUGAAAGUAUUUUUGAAAAGACACACAUAGAGAUAGUGCGUUUGGUGCAAUGCAGCACUGUGAGCCAUUCUGACGCGUUCUUAAUUUCAAAACUAAUGAAUGCUUCAAAAUUUUAAGAAGUGACAUUUCCAAAUAUUUGAGUUCGUUUAAUUGAACAUUGGAUAACUAGUGAUCAUAGAUUAUUAUCUGUGCUUGGCACUAUAAGAGGGUAUAUGCUUCUUUUUCUGGCCCCUCCUUCAAGGGAGGAGGGACAAUGUGAUCUGUAACGUUAGAAGCUAUUCCAUGUCAUCUUUGGGCUCAGUUCAAAACUAAAAGAUAAUGGGGGGGGGGGGGGGGGGCAUAUCAUUUUAUAUUUCUUCUAGAAGGUUUGUUCUGGAAAUAUUUCACAGGAGCAUAUCUUUUUCUUCUAUUACGUCAUCCGCAGCCUCCAAUAGGUCGGUUAACAAGCCACCGAGUUGAAAAGUUGGAAAAAUGGGAACACAGCCCGCCUCUUGUAUUCAGUAGUUAAAUAAAAGGUCACUAGAAGUGAGAUCCCUUUUGGCGUCUUGAUUUUCAAUCCAGCACCUCUGUGACCUGACAAACCAAAAAAACUAAAAAAUAAAAAACAGUACGUGGGUUGGUGUUAAGCAUCAAGACAUGUUAAUGAAAGAAGGUAGAGAAUAGGAUAUUGAAAUCCCAAUCCUGAUAACAUGAUUUUCUUUGCUAACAACCAUAUUAUAUUUUAUCAAGAAAGAGUAAUGCAUGUGGCGUCCAUCAAGACCCAUUAGAGUUCCGCUAAAGCUAUAGUUCUGUCAACGUUAUCAUUUACGUUUCCUCUAGAUAAUGGCAUUUUCCUCUAAAGCUCUUGCACCAUUAGGCUUCAAGUCAAAAUUUCACAUGUGAACUUUGGAAAUUUUCUCCAUUUGCCCCUAAGGAUACAGUUAGAAUUGACUUAAAAUCCUGAUUGAUAUGUACUAUUAACCAAAGAAUAUUGUAUAUAAUAAUUGAAAUAUUGUUGAUUCAUCGUGGAAAUACAUUUUGUAAGGAAAGUUGUUGAGAAUUUAGUAUGCUAUAUGGAGAAAAAAGUCAUGACUUAAGGUUGUGUAUGUAUAUUCUAUAUCAAAUAUUAGGUAGGAAUGUGGGAAAGAGCAGAGUGUAAUGAUAAGAAACAAAGAAAUAUAAGAUAUUCUUGAAAGUGGAAAAUAUAAAAUGGCUAACGAGUCAAAUUUAUGAUGCGUAAGGGGGAUCAUGUCACAUAAGAAAACCAUGGCAUACUAAAGACGUACGUGUGGUAUGGAGUAAUAAUUUUGUUAAAAUAAGUUUCUUGUUGGAGUACAUUAGGUGACUAUUCAUAACGUAUCAAAUUAAAGAGUCAAGUGCAUCAAUGAAGGCAUAUGUAGAAAAUUUGUUUGUGACAUGUACCAUAAAGAUAAGAUUGACUUGAUAGAAUUUAGUCUAAGUAGGAGUUGUUAAAGGUGUCUUAAAUUUCUAAUUGAUGUAUAUUUUUUUCUAAAAAAAUAUUAUAUAGAUAUUUUAAUAAAUGAUUAAUUCUUUGUAAAAAUACUUACAUAAUAAAAAACAUCAUUAAAAAUAUCUUUAUAAAUAUUUUAAGUUACAAGAAGGAAAAAAACCACUGUGAGAUAAUGAUGAACAUGCAACACUGUACCAAGUAAAUAAAAAUGUGAUAAAAAAAAAAGAGAAACACUCGAUAAAGGAAGGCUCGUAUAUAAAGAGUAAUAUUUUUAAUCAUAUGAUAGAAUGAUUUUCUCUCAUUCAUGAAUAUAGGCAAGAUUGGGGAACCAUUAUAAAAUUUUGUACACCUCGUGUAAAUUGAUGUUUGUCUUCAUAUUUUACACCAACAAAUGACAUUGAAGUUGUCAUUGAUAAAAGGGAAAAGGCAUGCCUCCACACCAUGUGCUUGAUUCGAAUGGUUCAAGUUUGAAGAAUUUUCUCCGGAAGAUCUAAAACAUUUUCGCCUUUAAAUUUCAUUUGAUUAUUAAUAUCCGAAAAAAUAGUUAAAUACUCUUUCUAUUUUUGAGUUGUUGAAUUUUUUGAAAGUUUUUAUAUUUGUUAUCAAGAAUUUCUAUUUUAUUAAGGGUGAAUAUUUAUAAAUAAGAUAUUAUAUAAUAUUUGGAUAAGAGAGAAUGGUGGAAUAUAAUAAAGUUUUAAUCCUUCCCAAUUUUGAACCUUUUUUUUUUUUUUUGAUAUAAUCGCCUUUCUCUUGCAAUCCUAUUAUCAGGUACCUUAUAUUUGCUGAUGCUAUCUGGAACUAAAUUCCAAUCAGGCAUUGUCCAAUUACUAAUAGGACAGAUCAUAUCUCUCUGUUUCUAAACUAACAUGUAUCGUAAUGUGACCUCAUAAGGAAGGCUAGGAAGAUGGAGGAUUUUGUGGGAAGCGACCAGAAUCAGAUGGAAGAGAGAUAGCCCUGUUGACCUAAUGGCUGUAAUAGGAGAAGCGUGUGGUUUUAUGGGACUUAACUGAUACUAAACCUGUAUGAUGCUUGGAGUGGUGUUUCUUUCAUUUUGUUAAGAAAAUAUGGCAGCAUACAUGCUUUCAACUGAGUGCAUCAGAGCAUCCAUAACAGAUGGUCUGCAACCCUAGGUGCAUGCCACUUUCUGACUGAUAAUGAAAUUGUCAGGUACCUGGCCUUGACUAAGCUCAACAGCAUCACAUAAAGAGAAGCUUUCAUACUUAGAUUACUGUUUAAAGUUUUUGCUUAUUUGAUUUCUUAAUGCCAUUAUGACAUUAUUGAUUCAAUUCUGCUUCCGAUUUUCGAAGUUCUGGGCAUCUACUGAUUGCAUCAUUAUAUGAGAAGUUGCAUGAGUUUAUGUAUCCUGUUAUUGUUCCUUUGCGAUUUCACUGCUCACGGGACUAACCUCUCCAUUCAGUCGAAAUGAAUUGUAAUUUCUUUACUGGUAGCAGUAGUACUUUUCAUAGCAAAGAUAAUAGAAAAUAUGAAAUAUAAAUAGAAGGAAAUCUGGAUUGUAGAUAGCACCAUAAGUAACACUCAAUAUUCACUACAUAAUAAAUAGACAGUGUUACAUAGGUAGAGAAACCUACAAUGAGUACUCAUCACCAUUCUCAAACAGAAACAUAGCAGCGACUUAUACAUAGAACCUAUAGGCUCGCAGGGAAAGAGUAACAUGAUAAGUUCACAGCGGGUAGCAGCUCUUAUUUUACGUAUUACUCAAAAUCUCAAACUAACCAAAGUCACUCAGUUGGGAUGGGUAGGAGAUGGUGGUUUGUGGGGUGGCUUCUGGGUAGGAGCUGGUGGCUUCUUUGUUGGAGUUGAAGGAGGCAUAUUCUUCUGAGGUGGCUUGUAUGACUCUUCGGCACUCUCUGCAGGAGGGUGCCCAGGGUUGUGACCAGAAGGAGGUGGCUUCUGUCCCUUUGGUGGUUUGCCUAAUGGGCUUGGUGGCUUGUGCUCCGGGAGUUGUUUCUCUCCCUCGAGUAGGUUUCGAGUUUUGUCAGAUGGCUUGUGUUCUGGUGGUGGCUUCUCUCCCUGGGGUGGUUUGCCGAAUGGGCUUGGUGGCUUGUGUUCGGGGAGUGGCUUCUCUCCCUGGAGAAGGUUACGAGUUUUGUCAGAUGGCUUUUGUUCUGGUGGCGGCUUCUCUCCCUGGGGUGGUUUGCCAAAUGGGCUUGGUGGCUUGUGUUCGGGAACUGGCUUCUCUCCCUUGGGAGGUUCAUUUGGUGGCUGGUGUUCCGUAGGUGGUUCCUUCACCGGCGGCUUGUGCUCCGGAAGCGGCUUCUCUACCUGGAGAAGCUUACGAGUUUUGUCAGAUGGCUUGUGUUGUGGUGGUGGCUUCUCUCCCGGGGGUGGUUUGCCAAAUGGACUUGGUGGCUUGUGUUCGGGGAGUGGCUUCUCUCCAUGGGGAGGUUUAGUUGGUGGUUGGUGUUGCGUAGGUGGUUUCUGAAGUGGGGGAUGCUUGGGGUAGUCAGCAAUAGACGAGGUAGUGAGAACCACCAGUCCCAACAGCAACACUAGCAAGGAUGUUGAAGACAUCUUUGAGUUCAGGCUGAGAUCUGUGCAAGGAUAAAAGAUUUAGGUGGCCUUUUAUAGAGGGCUGGACCCAACACCCAUAUGACACGUGUCAUGCACUCAUGGUGACACAUAAUUCUAUGGGACCAUUUGGGUCCUACAGAAGUUGCAAAGUUGGACUAUUGAGGUGUGAUCACAACUUUUGUCCUACUUGCUUUCUCUGCGGCCAUUGCACGAUUUCCUUUAGCAUCAUUUUCUUGUCUAAAUAAGCGUAUUAUAUUUGUGGCAGACCGUCCACGUGUCAUAAACAGAUAUAUUAUAAUAAUGUAGUAUGCUUUUCUUCAACGGAACUUGACACUCUUCUAAGUCUUGUUUUAAAUACUGUGCAGGAUUACGUCAUAAGUUGCUUGUUCCAAGUCAAAAUUGGUGGGCAAACGUUGGCCUUUUUUCAUUUUCCCUAAUAUUAAUGCUCACCUGGGAUAGGCACUACAUGAUUUAUCUGCUCUUUUACUGUGAAGUUGCUUUGUGCAUGAGUUACACCUCCCCUGCACACCCUCAACAUUUGUUGCUCUGUUUUUCUUGUGUCCAGACGAGGAUAUUAAUUGGAGGCUGACAAAACGACUGCUAGCCAAGGAUUUACAAGGUCCUGGUUUGAGGCUUUCACGAAAGUAUUUUUGAAAAGAUACACAUAGAGAUUGCGCGUUCGGUGCAAUGCAACAAUGUGAGCCAUUCUGAAGUCUUAAAUUUCAGAUUAAUGAAUGCUACAAAAUUCUAAGAAGGGCCGUUUCCAAAUAUUUGAGUUCAUUCAUCCGAACAUCGGGUAUAUGCUUCUUUCUCUAGCCCCUCCUUGAAGGGAGGAGGGACAAUGUGAUCUGUAUCGUUAGAAGCUAUUCCAUGUCGUCAUCUUUGGGCUCAGUUCAAUACUAAAAGAUAUGGGCGGGGCCCUUAUCAUUUUAUAUUUCUUCUAGAAGGUUUAUUCUGGAAAUCUUUCACAGAAACAUAUCUUUUUCUUCUCUACGUGAUCCGUGGUUUGAAAGUUGGAAAAAUGGGUCCGUUAACAAGCCACCGAGUUGAAAAGUUGGAAAAAUGGCAACACCGCCAACCUCUUGUAUUCGAUAGUUAAAUAAAAGGUCACUGGAAGUGAGAUCCCUUUUGGCCUCUUGAUUUUCAUUCCAGCAUCUCUAUGGCCUGAUAAAUUAAAAAACUAAAAAAAAAGACAGUACGUGGGUUGGUGUUAAGCAUCAAGAGUCAAGACAUGAUAAUGGAGAGAAAGGAUAUUCAAAUUCCAGUUCUGACAACAUGAUUUUCUUUGCUGAACUACCAUAUUAUAUUUGAUCAAGAAAGAGUAGUGCAUGUGGCCAGGAUCAAGACAUACAUUAAUUUCCACAUGAUGAAGACAGUUUCUGAGAGUUUCUUCUAAAGCUCUUGCGCGAGUAGGCUUCAAGUCAAAAUCUCCCAUGUAAACACUGGUUUUUCUUUCAUUGCCACUAAGGAUGCAGUUAAUAUUGACUUAAGAUCCUACGUGAUAUAUUUUUUUAAAAGAGCUAUAUUGUAGAUAAUAUUUGAAAUAAUGUUGAUUCGUUGUGGAAAUAUAUUUGUAAGGAAAGUUGUUGACAAUUUAAUAUAGUAUAAGAAGAAAAAAGUUAUCAACUAGCUAGAGAUGAGUAUGUAAAGUGAGGCUCACGAUUCAACGCGUAAAUAUAAGAUAUUUUAAGGCUCAAUAGUUAUGAUAUCUAUUUUAUUUUUUGUAUCUCAUAUAUUCAAAGAUAUAGUAAAAUGAUUUUACAUAUAUAUAUAUAUAUAUAUAUGAACAUAACUAUUUGUGCCAAUUGAUUUUUAUCUUUAUUUUGUAUAUUAGUAAUUAUAUUAAAGUUUUUACUAAUAUAAUAACUAAUAUAAAAGCUUUUUCUAAAAGAGUCAACAGAGCAAAACACUUAUUAUAAAAAAUAAUUUUGAUUGAAGGUGGAGUCAAUUAUUCUUUAUUUAACAUGUAAUGCAUACGGCGUGUACUUCAUAACUAAAGUAUAUAAGUGUAACAUCUCUUAUAUAUUCUCAUUCAAUCUCGAAAGUGGAAAUUUUAAAAAGAUUAAACGGUUCAAAUUUGUCGUGCAUAAAGGGGAUCAUGUCACAUAAGCAAACCAUGGCAUACCAAAGACAUAGGUAUGGACUAAGAAUUUUUUUCAAAUAAGUUUCUUAUUAGGGUACAUUAAUAGGUGACUUUUUAUGACAUAUCAAAGGAGUCAAGUGCACCAAUAAAAACAUAUAUAGAAAAUUCAUGCAUGACAUGUAUCACUAAGAGAAGAUUGACUUGAUAGAGUUUAAUCCAAAUAGGAGAUUGUUAAAAGGUGUCUCAAAUUCUUGAUUGAUAUAUAUUUUUUUUAUUAAAAAGGUUAUUAUAUAGAUAUUUCAAUAGACUAUUAAUUCUUUGUAAAAAUAGUUAUAUAAUGAGGAUGGUGAUUAAAAAUAUCUCUAUCAAUAUUUUGGAUUAUAAAAAGAAAAAAAAUGAGAUAAUGAUAAACAUAUAAAACUUGUACAAGUAGAUAAAGAUGUGAUGAAAGACACUUGAUGAAUGAAGGCUUUGUAUUUCAAGAUAUAAAUAUAUGGAGCAAAACUCUUAAUUAUAUGAUCAAAUGAUUCUCUCAUAUUCAUGAAUAUAAGCAGGAUUGGGGAACCAUGAUAGAAUCUUAUAUGCCUCUCCAUGUAGAGUGAUCGAUGUUUAUCUUCAUAUUUUACACCAGUGAAUGACAUUGAAACUCUUAUUGAUAAAAGGGAAAAGGCAUGGCCUCCACCCCAAGAAAAACAAGUAACCUCGGUUUAAAUCACUAGUCUACACCCCGAAGAGAGAACUAGCCAAACCUACUAAAAGAGAAACUUAACAAUUUAGAAAGAAACCGUCCAUGAUAAAGGGCCCCUAAAGGUCCAAUUCAGUGAGGUCGUGAACAAAAACACUUUCAUGUCAAAACAGAGAUAGGUACCACCAAAAUGUAAAGGGAAAGAUGUAAACCACGUCGAACUUUGGUAAUCAAUGGUAAAGAUAGCAUGAUAGCUAAAAGCACUAAAGCUGUGCUUGGUAUGCAAAAAUGAAAAGUGGAAAUCAGCGUCUUAUUCUUUUUCACCUUUAUUCACAUAUUAGGAUAACUAAUAUCUAAUGUUUUUUAUGUCUCAAAUUCUAUUCCAUGUUAUGGUAAACUUUCAUCUUGUUUAGAUCACUUUUGUCUGGUUUGGGCUCAAGACGAUAAGCCUAUAGAGACUUCAUAUUGGGUUGAAUCGAUGCCCUUGAUCUGAUCUGUUCGUUAGAAAAAUCUGAAUUAUUAUAAGCAUUUAGAUAAAAAAUAAAUAAAUGUGAAACACAAACUACUCCCUGCACAACCUUGACCCUAGUUACUCAGUUUCACUGCUCACAGGACUAACCUCUCCAUUCAGUCGAAAUGAAUUGUAACAAGAAGAUUUUUGACAGGAGGACGGUAGUUUAAAAUAAUAAUUUCUAAAGUACUUUUGUGAAAAAAAAUAAUUCCAAACGUGGAUUUUAUCAAGUAAAAAGAAAAAAAAAAGUUAUUUUCUUUUAAAAUCUGUUCUUCUAAAGAUGAUAUAUAUACCAAAAAAAAAAAUUGUUUUCUGAAGGUAAAAUUUUUAAAAUUCAUUUUUAAAAAAAUUUACACACUAAAAUUAUCUUUUCAAGAGAAGAUUUUUUUAAUUUUAAAUAAUUAUUAAUUUAUAAUUAAUUUGUUAUUAAUUAUUUAUUAAUUUUUUUAUUUGAAAAAUGCAUUUAUAAAAAACAAAUUUGUUAUUAAUUUAUUAAAUAAUUUUUACAAAAUAAAUAAUUUUUUUUUAUUUUAAUUUUAAAAUUAAUUUUAUUAUAUAAAUUUUAAAAUUAAAAAUAUUAAUAUUUAAUUUAAAAUUUAACUAUAAAAGGAAUAAAAUAUAGAAAAAUAAAUUAAUUUAUUAUUCAAUAAAUUAAUUUUCAAUAAAAUUUUCAGCAUUAAGAGAUAAAUUUUUAAGUAUUAAUCAAUUUAAAAAGAAAUAAUGAUCAUUUGUAUAUUAAGAUAUUUUAUUUAGUAAUUAUGAAUGAUAAACAACUAAAGUAAUUUGAAAAAAUAAUAAAAUAUUUAAAAAAUAAUAAUUUAAUACACGUAAAAUUAGAAAUGAUUAACUAUUUUUUAUUAAGAAAAAAUUGAGGAAAUAUUUUGUUAUUUAAAAUUUUUUAUUUGUUUUCAAUUUUUAAUGUUAUAGGUUUCAAGAAAAUUGAUCAAAUAAAAAUUAAGAAGUCAUUUUUUCAAAAACUAUAUAUCUAAAUAAAAGCCUUGAAAUUCAAAUACACAAUAUCAUAAAUAUAAACACCAAGUCAAUCCUUAAUUAUCAAAUGUUUUUAAUAUUAAAGAAUCAAAAUCACCUACUAUCAUGAUAAUAAGAAAACCAAUAAUAUUGUUCAUAUAAAUACUAAAAAGCUAACAAAUAUCCCAAACAAUUAAUAAAGUAUCAAACAUGAUAAAAAGUCAAUUAUUAUCAUGAAUGCAAAAAAUCAAUAAUUUUGUUUAUAUGAACCAUCAACAAAGAAAAAAAAAAUCAAUAUCUAAAUAUUAAACAUAAUUUAUAUUUUUAUAAAUAUUAUUGUUGAUAAAUAUCUUAACAAUUAUAAUUUUAGUAAAUAAAAUUAAUUAAUUUUAGUUUAAGAAUUAUUUUUUUAUACUUUCGUAUUCUUAUCAAAAAUCCCCAUUUUGCAUGUCUCCUUUGGCAUGACUUUCUUACCUAAACAAGCAUAUAUAUAUAUAUAUAUAUAUAAAAUAUUUGGUUAAGAAAGAGUACUAAAGUUUAUAUGGCACACAUCAAGAUAGAAACAGAAGUGGAAGAUAAUCCAAAUGUAUGAACAGAUAUAUUAUAUCCAUGUAGUGGUAGUGACUUCAUUAUUUACUUUUAUCUAAUGGAGCAUGACACACUUCUUCUGAAUAUUUUGCACGAUUAUGUUAUGUGUCAGCUUGUUCUAAGUCAAAACUAGUGAUAAAAAUCGGUUUUUUUUGCAUUUCCUUCAUGAAGAUGGCACCUGGAUGGGGCACUACAUGAGUGGCAUAGCACGAAGUGAUUUAUCUGCUCCCUUUACUAUAAAGUGCUUUGUGUAUAAGUUACACCUCCCCUGCACUGCCUCAACAUUUGUUGUUCUGUCUUCCGUCUGUCCAAACGAGGACAAACGUAUGUUGUAGGUUGACAAAACCACAGCUAGCCUAGGAUUUGCAAGGAUCUAGUUUGAUUCGUAUGCAAAAGGAUUGGUGAAAAGAUUCACAAAGAUAAUGCUUUUUGCAAUGCAAUCUUGUUCUAAUUCAACAGUGUGGACCAUUUUCAUGUAAUGCUUCAACUAGAUGUCAGUUUCAUGAAUUUUUGUUCAUCUAAUUGAUCACUGGAUAGGCCAUAACCCGAAGAAAUUCAAAAUUCCCUUCAGUACUGUAGCUAAGGAAAGAUCCCUAUCUACCACUGGGAUUUUAAGAGGGUAAAAAUGUAGGUGGGUGCCUAUAUCAUUUGCACUUCACUAUAGGCCUCUUUGGGAAGAUUUCUUCUGAAGACAUUUCAAAGAAACAUAUUUUUCUCUUCUCUCCGUAAACGGCAGCUGCAAGUCAGUCCAUUCACAGGCCACCGAGUUGAAAAGGCUGGAAAAUUGGCCAAAGCACCCGCCUCCUGGAUUCCAUGGGUAAGGAAAAGGUCACUGGAGGUGUGAUCCCUGUUGGCCUCUUGAUUUCCAUUCCGCCAUCUAUAUGACCUGAUAACCCAAAAACACAGAAGGAAAACGUCACCUGGGUUCAUAGUAAGCAUCAAGUCAUGAUAGAGACCAGACAACAUGACCAACAAAGAGUAGCGAAUGGGGCCAACAUCAAGCCCCAUUACGGUUAGAAGAUGGAAGAAGUAGAAGACAAUCCAAUUCUGAUAGAUUCGGGCAAAUGUAGUGCUGUUCAAACUUAAUCAUUUACUAUUUCUUCAUGAAUCACGGCAUUUUUCUUCUGAAAAUUUUCCAAGAUUAGGCCUCUGAAGAAAAAUUUCAUAUGUAAAUUGGUAUAUUAAGGAAAAGGCGUUACAAAGGUGAAAAAAAACCAAUCAAAUCUUAUAUAUGACAUCUCAAAAAUAUGAACUUGCUAUAAAUAUUUAAAAUCAAAAUCUUGCACAUCACCUCGUAGUACGAACUUGCUAUAAAACUUGAAAAUCAAGAAGAAAGGGGCAGUAUUGGACGAGACUACUUAGCACAUAUUAUUAUGAUGUUUUUUCAUUUUCUUAAUGUUGUUUUUAUGUCUUAAAUUCUAUUAUUCUAUGUUACGGUAAACAUUCAUCUUGUUUGUGUGGAAUAGGAUCACUUUUCUCUGGGUUGAGUCGAUGCCCUUAGUUAAUUUGUUCAUUUGAAUAAACUAAAUUAUUAUAAGUAUUUAGAUAAGAAAAACGUGAUACAUAAAUUACGCCUCUCGGCACAACUUCAACACUGGUUACUCUGUUUCAGUUUCCUCACACAAGAUUAUUGGUUCUAGGGUUUAUUUGGUUUUGGUUUGAUUCUAAUUGCUAAACUUUCUCAAGGAAGAUGUUAUAUAGGGAGUGAGAAACCUUCACUCUUGGCUACCUCCAAGAGAAGAGCAAGUGGUCUGAAUCAAAGAUAUACUGCUCACUUUUUCUUCUUCUAAGGACAGCUAUGACCUUGCUUUAAGGUUCGAAUAGCCUAAUGCAACCUCCCAUUUCUCAAGUCAGCUGAUGAUGUAAGUCACCUUGGCUUUCCACAUUCAUACGGUGAGGACGUUUGUGGGUGUAAUUCUCUUAACAGUUUUCAUUUUAUAUGGAAAAAUUCAUAAUUAAGGGUAAUUACUGAUUCCAUUUGACAGUGACCAAGUUUAAAAUAUUAAUUCAUAUAUUAAAUGCACAUUAAAAAAUCAUGGAAUAAAUAUAUUUACUAAUAUAUAGUUCUUUUGCCAUGUUCUGUCACAGAAGCAUCGAACUUUCCCUAGAAAUUUUUGCAUGGUAUUCUACUUAUGAUUUUGAAAACUCUAGGCACCUGAGGCCACUAAUUGCAUGGUUGGAUGAGGAGCUGCAUGAGAUUAUGUAUCGUGUUGUUCCUUAACUACAAAUAUCAGUUUUAAGUAGCAUCUCCAUGUGACAUUUUCCUGAUGCAAUUUCGCUGUCCACCAACAAAUUUCACCAUGCAGCAAGAUGAAUUGUAAUUUCUUUAUUGUUAUCAACAGCUUUAAUUAAUCUUGAUAUAUAUAUAUAACUUAGUAGAAGUAUAUUAAUCUAGAUUGUAGUUGCACUAAGAUAAUAGGCAAUAUUAUAACAGUGCCACAAUGCUCAUCGCCAAAUAGAAAGGUAGAAAAACUACAAUGAGUAACUCACAACAUUCUCAAACAGGACAUAGCGGCGACUGAUACAUAGAACACUAUUGGCACUCAGGAAAUGAUAAGAUCAGUGCCCAGCAGGCAGCACGUCUUAUUUUACAUACUACUUAAAACUAACCAAAGUCAUUCAGUUGGGAUGGGUGGGAGAUGGUGGUUUGUGCGGUGGCUUUUGGGUAGUUGGUGGCUUCUUUCCUGGAACUGAUGGUUUUUUUGUUGGAGUUGAAGGAGGCUUAAUCGUCUGAGGUGGCUUGUAUGAGUCUUCAGCACUCUCUGCGGGAGGGUGCCCAGGGUUGUGACCAUAAUGGGGUGGCUUCUCUCCCUUAGUUGGUUUGCCAAGUGGGCUGGCUGGCUUGUGCUCCGGGAGCGGCUUCUCUCCCUUAGGUGGUUUGCCAAAUGGGCUUGCUGGCUUGUGCUCUGGGAGCGGCUUCUCUCCCUCAAGAAGUUUACGGGUUUUGUCAGAUGGCUUGUGUUCUGGUGGUGGCUUCUCUCCUUGGGGUGGUUUGCCAAAUGGACUUGGUGGCUUGUGUUCGGGGAGUGGCUCCUCUCCCUUGGGAGGUUUAGUUGGUGGCUGGUGUUCCAUAGGUGGUUUCUCAACCGGGGGCUUGUUCUCCGUUGGUGGUUUAUGAACUGGGGGAUGCUUGGGGUAGUCAGCAAGAGACGGGGUGGUGAGAACCACCAGUCCCAGCAGCAACACUAGCAAGUAUGUGGAAGAGUACAUCUUUGAGUUCAGGCUGAGAUUU
rnacentral:lncRNA from 1 species